rnacentral:rRNA from 1 species
AGCGGCGGACGGGUGAGUAACACGUGGGUAACCUGCCUGUAAGACUGGGAUAACUCCGGGAAACCGGGGCUAAUACCGGAUGCUUGUUUGAACCGCAUGGUUCAGACAUAAAAGGUGGCUUCGGCUACCACUUACAGAUGGACCCGCGGCGCAUUAGCUAGUUGGUGAGGUAACGGCUCACCAAGGCAACGAUGCGUAGCCGACCUGAGAGGGUGAUCGGCCACACUGGGACUGAGACACGGCCCAGACUCCUACGGGAGGCAGCAGUAGGGAAUCUUCCGCAAUGGACGAAAGUCUGACGGAGCAACGCCGCGUGAGUGAUGAAGGUUUUCGGAUCGUAAAGCUCUGUUGUUAGGGAAGAACAAGUGCCGUUCAAAUAGGGCGGCACCUUGACGGUACCUAACCAGAAAGCCACGGCUAACUACGUGCCAGCAGCCGCGGUAAUACGUAGGUGGCAAGCGUUGUCCGGAAUUAUUGGGCGUAAAGGGCUCGCAGGCGGUUUCUUAAGUCUGAUGUGAAAGCCCCCGGCUCAACCGGGGAGGGUCAUUGGAAACUGGGGAACUUGAGUGCAGAAGAGGAGAGUGGAAUUCCACGUGUAGCGGUGAAAUGCGUAAAGAUGUGAGGAACACC